CACGUAGGGCGCGAGCGUUGUCCGGAAUUAUUGGGCGUAAAGAGCUCGUAGGCGGCCUGUUGCGUCCGCUGUGAAAGCCCGGGGCUUAACCCCGGGUCGGCAGUGGAUACGGGCAGGCUAGAGGUAGGUAGGGGAGAAUGGAAUUCCCGGUGUAGCGGUGAAAUGCGCAGAUAUCAGGAGGAACACCAAUUGCGAAGGCAGCUCGCUGGGACGUUACUGACGCUGAGACGCGAAAGCGUGGGGAGCGAACAGG
rnacentral:rRNA from 1 species